rnacentral:rRNA from 1 species
GACGAACGCUGGCGGCGUGCUUAACACAUGCAAGUCGAACGAUGAAGCGCAGCUUGCUGCGUGGAUUAGUGGCGAACGGGUGAGUAACACGUGAGUAACCUGCCCCAGACUCUGGGAUAACUCCGGGAAACCGGUGCUAAUACCGGAUGUGACGCCUGGCCGCAUGGUCGGGUGUGGAAAGUUUUUUCGGUUUGGGAUGGGCUCGCGGCCUAUCAGCUUGUUGGUGAGGUAGUGGCUCACCAAGGCGACGACGGGUAGCCGGCCUGAGAGGGCGACCGGCCACACUGGGACUGAGACACGGCCCAGACUCCUACGGGAGGCAGCAGUGGGGAAUAUUGCACAAUGGGCGCAAGCCUGAUGCAGCGACGCCGCGUGAGGGAUGACGGCCUUCGGGUUGUAAACCUCUUUCAGCAGGGAAGAAGCGCAAGUGACGGUACCUGCAGAAGAAGCACCGGCUAACUACGUGCCAGCAGCCGCCGUAAUAC